AUGGGCAAUUCAGAUAGUCAGUACAGCAGUUUCAUUCUCCCUGGUAAGGGAAAGUCUAGCUCCCUGAAGCUGCACAAUCCCAAAGAGGACGUGGUCUCGCCACAAUCUUGGUGGAGGAACUCUGACAGCACCUCUGGGUACAAGGCUAAAAAUGGCUUUUCACCACACAAAAACCAUCAACCGUACAUGUCACGUCGAUAUGACUGCAUUAAGGAGGGAUCUAGUGACAAAAUAUGUGCGGAGAGCCACCAGGACUAUGACAACAUUUUAUUCCAGGGAAAUGGAUUUUUUGUAGGCUACAGACAACAGAGCGGAGGCCUCCAGGCUCCUAUGAGGAACCCCAGUUCUGAGUGUAAAGACAGUAAGAGCAGUCCAAAAGUUCUGCUUCGUGAUGAUGGAAGUCUAAGAGUAGAGUUCACUAAUGCACGGAGGGAGCCAGACGUUGAGCUGUCCUUGGGAACUCGUCGAAGUGGACCUGUUGAUGGCCAAAGGGCCAGUAAUGGAAGCUCUCUUGGCUCCGAGGGCUCAUGGUAUGACUCGCCCUGGGGGAAUGGGACAGAUCUGUGUGACAAUGUCUUCUCCAACAGCCAACCUUCGGAUAACAGCAGUGGAUACACCACACUCUCAUCCACACGUACAGUGGACUUUGGAUAUUUUAAUGGUUACAACACAGAACAGUCUGAGCAUCAUACGAGUAGCCUUACCUGCCAAACAACAGUUCAUGGCGGUCAGUAUGCAAACAGUGAUAGCAAUAGUAAUGGCAACCGUGUUGAGGAGGACAGUGGUAUUGGAGACUCUGUGCUCCUUCAUUUGGAAAACAAUGGAUUACCUGAGCAAUACACAAACCCAAACAUGACUCUACCGUUCCCAACUGUGGGCAUCCUAAUGACAGAUCAGUUCAAGGAUAGUCCUCAUCUACAAGCUUCACUGACCUCUUCCCUGGAUGCAAACUCCCAAGAUGAGAAUCAGGAAACCCGGCUUUACACCUCGCAAACCCUGCCAUGCAGAAAAGCAGUUCCUGAUGGGAACACAAGGAAGGACUCGCUCAAGAGUCGCAUCCGCCGUCUCAGUGAUUGGACGGGAAGUCUGAGCAGGAAAAAGCGAAGGCUACAGGAUCCUCAGGAACCAAGCAUAGAAGUUGUUAACUGUGGAGCUGAGGGCACGGUCGAAGAAUCCAGACCAUUUUGGAAUCCCAUGUCAUGCCAAACACAGCUGGACAGCACCUUAUCUGGCCCUUUUGGGCAGCAGAACCAAGGUGCAACUCUCAGGCAGAACAUCUAUGAGAAUUUUAUGCAGGGCCUGGAGACCGCCAGCAGCACCGGGACCGUUGAUGGACUCCAGAUCUGGGAGGCUGAAGGGGAGAGCAGCAGUGGCUCGAUGGGCUCCAUAGAGCAAAUGGACUUCCUGUUUGAGAAGGAGCAAGGUGUCGUGCGGAGGGCUGGUUGGUUGGCUUUUAAGCCUCUUAUUACACUACAUAAGGACCGCAAACUGGAACUGGUAACAAGACGCAAGUGGAGGCAGUAUUGGGUCACGCUUAAAGGCUGUACACUUUUGUUGGGGGAAUCCAAUGGAAAGACCUCCCCAGAGCAGGAAUGCACACCACGUUACGCAGUGCUUGCCGAGGACAGUAUUGUACAGGCCGUUCCUGAGCAUCCUAAGAAAGAGAAUGUCUUCUGCCUCAGCAAUGCCUAUGGAGAUGUCUACCUCUUCCAGGUUGGUGGCCUUUCUUUUGUAACAUAGAACCAUUUCCACAUUAAGGUGCACUUUCAGUCAGUGUUUUUCAAGACGUCAAUCAAAACCAAUCGAUUUUCACUGUUGUUGAGCAAAGUGAACCAAGCAGAAAAUCACCGCUGCCAUUAGAUGGUGCUUAAUGAACUUUAAUGCCAUGCAUAAGGCUGCUUUCACACCUUUAGUACGUUUCCUUUGGUCCGUAC
rnacentral:lncRNA from 1 species